rnacentral:lncRNA from 1 species
ACAGUGUUUGGCAAAGCAUUCCUGGUCCCUGGCCUCAUGGAGCUCACAGACUAAUGGGAUAGGCAAAGCCUAGAUUCAGUGGGUGGUGGGGAUAGUGGGGUGGGCAGGAAGUUGACCUAUUUUACUCUCCCACUAAGCUACAAUGUAGCUUUUAUCAUGAGUCUCCAUUUGCCUUUUUCCCCCCUCAUUUUGAGCUCUCAAGUAGGGAAAACACAGUUGUCAUUGAUUAUACCCCGUUGGCCCUCCAGCACAGGAUGCUAUAGGAGAGAGUGACUGAGUCCAGUACCCUGGGACUGAGUAGGGGAGAGGGAUGUGAAGUUAGGCAGGAAUUAGUGAGAUGAAGAUAUUGAGGAAGUAAGUUCCCAGAAAGGGUAUCGAUAGCAUUUGCAAAGGUCCUGAGGCAGGAAAGGAUUUGGCAGGUUUAAGCAGCUCAUUUAGUGUGGUUGGAGGGAGAAACAGAAGAAAUGGCUAGAACUGGAAAGGUGGAGGGCCUUAAGGUCAAGUUAAAAACUUGACCCUGAGGGCACUAAGAAGCCAUGGAAAAGUUUUAAUGACAUUCCCCUGUUUCUUGCCACCCAUUAUUUACCUGUAGAGGUCCUCUUACCUUUAGGUACAGAGGUGCUGUGCAGACAAGUAUAGUAUGGUUUCAGACUGAAACACAUGGGCAGCUUAGCAGAAACUAUACUUAGGAGCAGGGAGUGGAAAGAGUAUGAGCUUGAGAGACUUGGAUCUGUAUGAUUUGAACAAAUCUCUUAACCUCUCCAAGCCACUUUCCUAUUAUGCACAAUUGUUAAUGUAGCAUUUAAACACCUCCAGAUUGUUGUAGGAUCAGAAAUAACAAGUUCUGUGCCUCUGACUGGUACUCCAUAGGUGGUUGCUGUCACUAUUUUAACAGUGUUCUCUUGCUAACACAAAUUUGAAACUCUUCUUUGGGAAUGGAAUCGCAGAAUCACAUACUGCCAAACUGUGAGGAAACCUCAAAGAUCUGUCUGUGUAUGAUGUUUGCAUCCCUUCUGCAACACUGCUGAUCAGUUGGUUUGUUGUCCAGUGUAAUUUAUCAUAUCCAAAGAUAGGAAUCUCACUACUAUCUGAAGCAGCCCACGUUUGGGCUCUGUAAAAAGGUUCCUUUCUUGAACAAUCCCAGUCUGCUUCUCUGUGACCUCUAUUCAGGGGUCUCAGUAGUGCCCCCCAAUGCCUCAUCUAUGUGAGAGCCCUCAAGUGUUUGCUGCCAUUAUCUUCACCACCACUCACCUCAAGUUGAAAAGCUUGUUUCUUUGGCUUCAACAAUAAAAGGGUCAAUUCAUCAGAAACUACAACAGUCCAAAAACAUAAAUGUACCUAACAACAGAACUUAAAAACAUGAAGUAAAAAGUGUUAGUGACAGAUGUUAAUAAAAAUAGGGGCACCUGGCUGGCUCAGUCAGUGGAGCAUGCGACUCUUGAUCUCACGGUUGUGAGUUUGAGCCCCACGUUGGGCAUAGAGAUUACCUAAAAAUAAAAGUCUUUAAGAAUAAUAAUAAUAACUAUCAUUCACUGUGCACCCACACUAUACUUGGUGCUAUUAUACACGGAUACAUCUCAAUCAGUCCUGUCGGUUGAAAAAAAGCCUACAGGUAAAUAAGCAUAACACAAUUAUACAGAUACUGUGACAGGUCUGUGCAGGAAAAAGGGGGUAUUGGUGGGGCACCAACGGAACAAUCAUCUUUUUAUGAAAGAGGGACCUGCCUCUUAGAUGACACAAACUCUACCCUGACAACUGGUCAGGUAAUACCUGCACUCAACUGGACUUAGCCAUUUGUGGUAUUUGUUAAAAUAUCACUGUAGAGGCUUUAGUCACACAAAAUAUUCAAAACAGCCACUGUCAGUAACUACAAGUGCAUUCCUACAAGAAGUGUUCAUUUUCUCUGUUAGCAUUCAUUACAAAGCUUUUUUUUAGAGACAGAAUAAAAGAAGCCAGGCAAGGAAGAAGAGUAGAAUACUGUGAUUUGCUGUACUUGGAAAUGGAUGGCCAAUAUUUGGAAAGGAGGAGGCUUAACUAGUCUUUUUUAAGCACUGAAAUAGAAGAGACAAGGCAUACUGUGUUUGUCAUGGCCAUACAAUACAGGAAGGCCACAGAAAACGGGAGCAGUAAAGCACUUGCCCCAUUGACUUAAAGCAUCAUGAUGCUCACACUCCAAUGCAUGUUUCUUUGUGUGGGGCUCUGUGCUGGAUGCAACGGUAAAAAUGACCUCUCUAGGAGGCUGAGGUAUGUGUCCAAGGUGAUCCAACACAGAAAGCUACAGAGCCUUGGGAAAGGAUUGAUGUGCUCCAGAAAAUUCUAAGGAUAGUUCCUUGGGCAAAUGAAGCUAACCUUCCUAAAGGAGAAUAAAUACAAUACCUAUGAAUAACUACAAUGAAGUCUUCCCAACCUCCUGAAAUGGGACCUUCUCCAUAAGAACCAUAGAGAGCAAAAAACCGUGAACCUCAAGCUGUCUGAUUUAAGAAACAAAUGAGAGAGGCAGGAACACGAGUAAAAUAUCAGGGGAGACUAAGACUAAUAUUUUUCAAGUUUGUUAAAGAAGAAGCCCAUCAAGAAACAGUUAUAAAACUAAGGAUCUUGAAAUAGUUCCCAAAACAA